CCAUUUUAUUCGAGCCAAUGUCAAAUACAUUGCACAAUGUGUAUAAAAAAGGUAAUCAAAAUUUAGUGUGCUCUUAUGCGCUCAAUAUUAUCAUUAGGGUCAUUUACUGACGAGAGAAAAUAAGUCGCGUCUUGUCGUGAAAUGGUCAAUUUCUGUUAAGCCGCGCGACUUAUUUUGGACCAGCUACAUUGCAGGUCACGAACAAUUGACCAGGGCUGAGCAGAGGACUGGGACUAGGACGUCCUAUUACUUAAGUAGAUAGCUCAAGAUCUACGACGUCAAAAA
rnacentral:lncRNA from 1 species